rnacentral:rRNA from 1 species
GGUUAAGCGACUAAGCGUACACGGUGGAUGCCCUGGCAGUCAGAGGCGAUGAAGGACGUGCUAAUCUGCGAUAAGCGUCGGUAAGGUGAUAUGAACCGUUAUAACCGGCGAUUUCCGAAUGGGGAAACCCAGUGUGAUUCGUCACACUAUCAUUAACUGAAUCCAUAGGUUAAUGAGGCGAACCGGGGGAACUGAAACAUCUAAGUACCCCGAGGAAAAGAAAUCAACCGAGAUUCCCCCAGUAGCGGCGAGCGAACGGGGAGCAGCCCAGAGCCUGAAUCAGUGUGUGUGUUAGUGGAAGCGUCUGGAAAGGCGCGCGAUACAGGGUGACAGCCCCGUACACAAAAAUGCACAUACUGUGAGCUCGAUGAGUAGGGCGGGACACGUGGUAUCCUGUCUGAAUAUGGGGGGACCAUCCUCCAAGGCUAAAUACUCCUGACUGACCGAUAGUGAACCAGUACCGUGAGGGAAAGGCGAAAAGAACCCCGGCGAGGGGAGUGAAAAAGAACCUGAAACCGUGUACGUACAAGCAGUGGGAGCCUCUUUAUGGGGUGACUGCGUACCUUUUGUAUAAUGGGUCAGCGACUUAUAUUCUGUAGCAAGGUUAACCGAAUAGGGGAGCCGAAGGGAAACCGAGUCUUAACUGGGCGUUAAGUUGCAGGGUAUAGACCCGAAACCCGGUGAUCUAGCCAUGGGCAGGUUGAAGGUUGGGUAACACUAACUGGAGGACCGAACCGACUAAUGUUGAAAAAUUAGCGGAUGACUUGUGGCUGGGGGUGAAAGGCCAAUCAAACCGGGAGAUAGCUGGUUCUCCCCGAAAGCUAUUUAGGUAGCGCCUCGUGAAUUCAUCUCCGGGGGUAGAGCACUGUUUCGGCAAGGGGGUCAUCCCGACUUACCAACCCGAUGCAAACUGCGAAUACCGGAGAAUGUUAUCACGGGAGACACACGGCGGGUGCUAACGUCCGUCGUGAAGAGGGAAACAACCCAGACCGCCAGCUAAGGUCCCAAAGUCAUGGUUAAGUGGGAAACGAUGUGGGAAGGCCCAGACAGCCAGGAUGUUGGCUUAGAAGCAGCCAUCAUUUAAAGAAAGCGUAAUAGCUCACUGGUCGAGUCGGCCUGCGCGGAAGAUGUAACGGGGCUAAACCAUGCACCGAAGCUGCGGCAGCGACACUAUGUGUUGUUGGGUAGGGGAGCGUUCUGUAAGCCUGUGAAGGUGUACUGUGAGGUAUGCUGGAGGUAUCAGAAGUGCGAAUGCUGACAUAAGUAACGAUAAAGCGGGUGAAAAGCCCGCUCGCCGGAAGACCAAGGGUUCCUGUCCAACGUUAAUCGGGGCAGGGUGAGUCGACCCCUAAGGCGAGGCCGAAAGGCGUAGUCGAUGGGAAACAGGUUAAUAUUCCUGUACUUGGUGUUAUNNNNNNNNNNNNNNNNNNNNNNNNNNNNNNNNNNNNNNNNNNNNNNNNNNNNNNNNNNNNNNNNNNNNNNNNNNNNNNNNNNNNNNNNNNNNNNNNNACUGCGAAGGGGGGACGGAGAAGGCUAUGUUGGCCGGGCGACGGUUGUCCCGGUUUAAGCGUGUAGGCUGGUUUUCCAGGCAAAUCCGGAAAAUCAAGGCUGAGGCGUGAUGACGAGGCACUACGGUGCUGAAGCAACAAAUGCCCUGCUUCCAGGAAAAGCCUCUAAGCAUCAGGUAACAUCAAAUCGUACCCCAAACCGACACAGGUGGUCAGGUAGAGAAUACCAAGGCGCUUGAGAGAACUCGGGUGAAGGAACUAGGCAAAAUGGUGCCGUAACUUCGGGAGAAGGCACGCUGAUAUGUAGGUGAAGCGACUUGCUCGUGGAGCUGAAAUCAGUCGAAGAUACCAGCUGGCUGCAACUGUUUAUUAAAAACACAGCACUGUGCAAACACGAAAGUGGACGUAUACGGUGUGACGCCUGCCCGGUGCCGGAAGGUUAAUUGAUGGGGUUAGCGCAAGCGAAGCUCUUGAUCGAAGCCCCGGUAAACGGCGGCCGUAACUAUAACGGUCCUAAGGUAGCGAAAUUCCUUGUCGGGUAAGUUCCGACCUGCACGAAUGGCGUAAUGAUGGCCAGGCUGUCUCCACCCGAGACUCAGUGAAAUUGAACUCGCUGUGAAGAUGCAGUGUACCCGCGGCAAGACGGAAAGACCCCGUGAACCUUUACUAUAGCUUGACACUGAACAUUGAGCCUUGAUGUGUAGGAUAGGUGGGAGGCUUUGAAGUGUGGACGCCAGUCUGCAUGGAGCCGACCUUGAAAUACCACCCUUUAAUGUUUGAUGUUCUAACGUUGGCCCCUGAUCGGGGUUGCGGACAGUGUCUGGUGGGUAGUUUGACUGGGGCGGUCUCCUCCUAAAGAGUAACGGAGGAGCACGAAGGUUGGCUAAUCCUGGUCGGACAUCAGGAGGUUAGUGCAAUGGCAUAAGCCAGCUUGACUGCGAGCGUGACGGCGCGAGCAGGUGCGAAAGCAGGUCAUAGUGAUCCGGUGGUUCUGAAUGGAAGGGCCAUCGCUCAACGGAUAAAAGGUACUCCGGGGAUAACAGGCUGAUACCGCCCAAGAGUUCAUAUCGACGGCGGUGUUUGGCACCUCGAUGUCGGCUCAUCACAUCCUGGGGCUGAAGUAGGUCCCAAGGGUAUGGCUGUUCGCCAUUUAAAGUGGUACGCGAGCUGGGUUUAGAACGUCGUGAGACAGUUCGGUCCCUAUCUGCCGUGGGCGCUGGAGAACUGAGGGGGGCUGCUCCUAGUACGAGAGGACCGGAGUGGACGCAUCACUGGUGUUCGGGUUGUCAUGCCAAUGGCACUGCCCGGUAGCUAAAUGCGGAAGAGAUAAGUGCUGAAAGCAUCUAAGCACGAAACUUGCCCCGAGAUGAGUUCUCCCUGAC